UUGCAUCCCAAAAGCAUCAUGCGCCAUUUCUGUCAUCCUAGUAUCUUGAUAUUUAUUAUGCCCUGCAGACCUACUACUUUCUCCAACAACAAAGUUAUUUUACGCAACAUCACCAUGAAUACCACGCAAUCUUAAAAAGUCUUCGUGAAAUCCCUUUCUAUAAAGAUGUUCCUUUACAACUUCUUCACUCAUAAAAUUUAUACCAUCACAUCUAACACAAAGACAACGAAUAGCCCCAAAACGUUUUCAAACAUCAAGUGUCUUAGCAUAUUCAACAAAUAUUUUGACACCUUCAACAAAUUCCUCCCUAAUACCUAUUCUAUUAUCAUUGUUCCGUUGAUAUAUCCAGCUAUAAUCAGGUUCCAUCUACACAAUCAAUUAGAUUCAACUAAUUAGAUCAAGUCACAAAAAUUCAAUUAUUACCAAACAUAGCCACAUUCAAAACCAAAAGAUCUCCUUUAAAAUUCCUACAUUUAACCAUAUUCAAGUGACUAAAAUCACCAAACAAACGACAUUCAAAACAAAAAAAAAUCCCUUUAAAGUCCCUAGACUUAACC
rnacentral:lncRNA from 1 species